AUCUAGCUGACGAGUCCCAAAUAGGACGAAAUGCGCGUCCUAGAU
rfam:Schistosoma margrebowiei strain Zambia genome assembly, scaffold: SMRZ_contig0002255